GAGGCUCCAUGCAAGUCGAGCGGACUUUCUAGCUGCAGAAGAUGAAGGCGAGGUGAGUAAUGCUUGGGAAUAUGCCUUUUGGUGGGGGACAAAUUGAAACGACUGCUAAUACCGCAUGAUGUCUACGGACCAAAGUGGGGGACCUUCGGGCCUCACGCCAAAGAUUAGCCCAAGGGAUUAGCUAGUUGGUAAGGUAAUGGCUUACCAAGCAACGAUCCCUACUGGUUGAGAGGAUGAUCACCACACUGGGACUGAGACACGGCCAACUCCUACGGGAGGCGCAGUGGGGAAUAUUGCAAAUGGGCGCAACCUGAUGCAGCCAUGCCGCGGUGUAAGAAGGCUUCSUUGUAAAGCACUUUCAGUCAGGAGGAAAGGUUAGCGGUUAAUACCCGUUAGCUGUGACGUUACUGACAGAAGAAGCACCGGCUAACUCCGUGCCAGCAGCCGCGGUAAUACGGAGGGUGCGAGCGUUAAUCGGAAUUACUGGGCGUAAAGCGUACGCAGGGGUUUGUUAAGCGAGAUGUGAAAGCCCCGGGCUCAACCUGGGAACUGCAUUUCGAACUGGCAAACUAGAGUGUGAUAGAGGGUGGUAGAAUUUCAGGUGUAGCGGUGAAAUGCGUAGAGAUCUGAAGGAAUACCGAUGGCGAAGGCAGCCACCUGGGUCAACACUGACGCUCAUGUACGAAAGCGUGGGGAGCAAACAGGAUUAGAUACCCUGGUAGUCCACGCCGUAAACGAUGUCUACUAAAGCUCGGUUCCUCGGAACUGUUUUUCAAAGCUAACGCAUUAAGUAGACCGCCUGGGGAGUACGGCCGCAAGGUUAAAACUCAAUGAAUUGACGGGGGCCCGCACAAGCGGUGGAGCAUGUGGUUAAUUCGAUGCAACGCGAAGAACCUUACCUACACUUGACAUACAGAGAACUUACCAGAGAUGGUUUGGUGCCUUCGGGAACUCUGAUACAGUGCUGCAUGCUGUCGUCAGCUCGUGUGUGAGAUGUGGGUUAAGUCCCGCACAGCGCCCCCUAUCCUUAUGCUAGCAAAUGCUGAACUAGGACUGCGAUACAGCCCAGCAUCAUUUACCGU
rnacentral:rRNA from 1 species